AGAUGGUGCUGUGCUGGUUAGAUUAGUAGGUUCUGGGGUUUGAUAACAGAUGGAUGGAGCUGUGCUGGUUAGAUUAGUAGGUUCUGGGGUUUGAUAACAGAUAGAUGGUGCUGUGCUGGUUAGAUUAGUAGGUUCUGGUGUUUGAUAACAGAUGGAUGGAGCUGUGCUGGUUAGAUUAGUAGGUUCUGGGGUUUGAUAACAGAUGGAUGGAGCUGUGCUGGUUAGAUUAGUAGGUUCUGGGGUUUGAUAACAGAUAGAUGGAGCUGUGCUGGUUAGAUUAGUAGGUUCUGGGGUUUGAUAACAGAUAGAUGGAGCUGUGCUGGUUAGAUUAGUAGGUUCUGGGGUUUGAUAACAGAUAGAUGGAGCUGUGCUGGUUAGAUUAGUAGGUUCUGGGGUUUGAUAACAGAUAGAUGGAGCUGUGCUGGUUAGAUUAGUAGGUUCUGGGGUUUAAUAACAGAUAGAUGGAGCUGUGCUGGUUAGAUUAGUAGGUUCUGG